rnacentral:lncRNA from 1 species
CAAUUAUUAAGCAUUGAACAAAGAAUUAUUUGUUGAGCCAACGUGGAUCCAACAGUAGCAAUGUUUCACACAUACAUUCAACCUUCUUCCUGUUCUUGUCAUUUGACCAAAUUUCUUCCUCACAAAACGAGGGAGAAAAAACAACAACCGCACCGGCAUCGGAAAAAUCACCGGCACAAGUUUCCGAAAAUAAAAAAAUCACCGGUUUCGUGAAGGGUUAGAAGUAGAGAAAACUGUGUCACAUAGAAAACAUAGUCGCAUAGAAAAUAGUGGAUGUUGUUGGAUAUGGUCGGCACGCUUCGACGGUGGUGAGCUGGCUUCCGACGACGACUCCUCUUCCCAAAUCUAGUUUCAUGGCUUCUCUGUGAAAAAGUGUUACAGUCUCAGUUACAAUCUCAUAGAUUCCAACACCACUGUUUCUUAUCUCAAAAAGCUUAAAUUUUUCCCCACAAUCACAAUCGAGUCAGAAGAACAACCCAUAAUCAUUCUUGUUCUUCCAUAAAAAGGUGCAAAUUUUUAAAAAAACAACCCAAAAUCAUUCUUCACCCAAAUUGAUGAAACUGAGAGCGAAUUUUGAAAGGACACACUGAUUAGGGUUUGAUUCUGGUUUUAGUGGUUGGGAUGAAGGAACAAGAAGGAGGAAGAAGAAAGACGAUAGAGAGAAUUUAUGGGUUUGUGUUCUUGGGAUAAAGGUGUUCAAUGAAUUUCUGGAUUCGUGUUAUUAGAGAAAAACAUUUUAAUUUUCUGGUGAAAGGACAAUAAAAAAAAAAUUGAUAUUCUGAAUCAUUCAUGUAUGGCUGUAUGCAAUUAUAACUUCCACUUCGAGGUCAAUGAAGCAUUACCAGUAAAAAUCACCCGUCAAUUCUAAGUUGUUGGACUGAUUCAUGGUUCAAAGGAAGAAGAAGAUGGUUUGUUUCUGAAAAAUUGAAGAUGAACAAUGUUCAAAGGAAGAAGAAGGAUGAUGAGGGUAUUUUUGUCCAUUCCUAUGCCAUUUUGUUAAUUUGAUGAUGUGGCGGUCAUUAAGUGACGAAAUUUUAAAUGAUUAAUGAUUGCAAUGCUAGUUUGCAAGGAUUAGCGAAUACAUGAACCAAUUUUUAAACGAUCCCCAAUUGCAACGAUGAAAUACAUAUUUGAGCCUGCAAAAAAUUAACUUUAAAUCUCAACAAGAGCAAACCCUAAUUUUUACUCUCU